AAGUCGUAACAAGGUUUCCGUAGGUGAACCUGCGGAAGGAUCAUUAACACCCAGUUGAGACCGUACUGUUCGCUUCGCGUUCGGUUGCGUGUCUCUUCUACUAUCCACCCGUGGUCGUGUUCCGUACCUUGGCCCUUGUGGUCGAGGUUGAUCCACUCGGUCGCUGAGUGCUGGUGGCGUGCAGUACCUCGGUACUGUUGCGAAUACAGCCCAGUGAUAAGAGGUCUUAUCGGGGCCUCAAGUCGUAUAGGCUGAGCGGCCUAUUUUUCACCUUUUACUGCAAACUAUACCUGCACUGAAUCCAUAUGCACGCGAAAGCGUGUGUAUGCUUUAUUGGCCUUCACUGCGCCGAUAAAACCAAAUACAACUCGUAGCAAUGGAUAUCUCGGCUAAC
rnacentral:misc_RNA from 1 species